CGGGCAGAAAACAUUGCAGAGGACAUAGAUGGGUACUUAAGUGGAUUUCUCGUCCUACAGUAUAUGUCUGCAUGGAAUAGACCACAAGCCACACACAUUUAUACCGAUGGUAUGGAGAUGCGGCGAAACUUAUUUGUGUAUUUACUAGCACACGAAAGAAAUGGAUAUCGAAGAUUUCUUCCUGCCGAUAUUAAACAUUAUCUUGGUCGUAUCACCGAAAGGUCUAUAAAGUAGAAUUUGUGAACUUAUAACAUCAUGCUCUCCGUGACUAUGUUUGAGUUUAGAAACUUUGCUUCUUUAAGAUAAAUAUCACUUUA